GUGGGGAAUAUUGGUCAAUGGGGGAAACCCUGAACCAGCGACGCCGCGUGAGUGAAGAAGUAUUUCGGUAUGUAAAGCUCUAUCAGCAGGGACGAUGAUGACGGUACCUGACUAAGAAGCCCCGGCUAACUACGUGCCAGCAGCCGCGGUAAUACGUAGGGGGCAAGCGUUAUCCGGAUUUACUGGGUGUAAAGGGAGUGUAGGUGGCCGUGCAAGUCAGAUGUGAAAUCCCGGGGCUCAACCCCGUGACUGCAUUUGAAACUGCGUGGCUGGAGUGCAGGAGAGGUAAGCGGAAUUCCUAGUGGAGCGGUGAAAUGCGUAGAUAUUAGGAGGAACACCGGUGGCGAAGGCGGCUUACUGGACUGUAACUGACACUGAGGCUCGAAAGCGUGGGGAGCAAACAGG
rnacentral:rRNA from 1 species